CGCGGAGUGGAGCAGUUGGUAGCUCGCCAGGCUCAUAACCUGGAGGUCGCGUGUUCGAGUCUCGCCUCCGCAA
rnacentral:tRNA from 1 species